GCACUUUGAAAAGAGAGUUAAAAAGUACUUGAAAUUGUUGAGAGGGAAGAGAUGGGCCGCCGCGUGUGCGGCCAGGCAGACGCCCGCCCUGGUGGCGUGCUGGAUGCACUGGUCGCUGGUCAGCAUGGGUUGGGGUCGGCGGGACACCCCCGGACGUUUGUUGUUCCGGUUUUGCCGCCGAUCCGACCGAGGCUUGCAGGGCGCUAGCAAUAGUCCCCCCGGGGAACUGCGCCCUCGAGAUGCUGGCGGAAGGCGUCUCAUCUGCCCGUCUUGAAACACGGACCAAGGAGUCUAACGUGUAUGCGAGCUGGUGGGUGGCAAACCCACGAAGCGCAAGGAACCUGACUGGUGCGAUGGCUCGAGCCUGCAGCAUCGACCUCUCUUGAGCUUGUGCGAGGGAUGAGAGUACGAGUAUACACGCUGGGACCCGAAAGAUGGUGAACUAUGCCUGAGCAGGGCGAAGCCAGAGGAAACUCUGGUGGAGGCUCGUAGAUGUGCUGACGUGCAAAUCGCUUUUCGGACUUGGGUAUAGGGGCGAAAGACUAAUCGAACCAUCUAGUAGCUGGGUUCCCUCCGAAGUUUCCCCCAGGAUAGCU
rnacentral:rRNA from 1 species